CAGAAAGUAGUUUAAAAAAAAUGUUAGUUUUGGGAAUUAGCGAUAGGGGUUCUCUCUUUCUGA
rnacentral:tRNA from 1 species